CUAUCAUGCAGUCGAGCGAACGGACGAGAAGCUUGCUUCUCUGAUGUUAGCGGCGGACGGGUGAGUAACACGUGGAUAACCUACCUAUAAGACUGGGAUAACUUCGGGAAACCGGAGCUAAUACCGGAUAAUAUUUUGAACCGCAUGGUUCAAAAGUGAAAGACGGUCUUGCUGUCACUUAUAGAUGGAUCCGCGCUGCAUUAGCUAGUUGGUAAGGUAACGGCUUACCAAGGCAACGAUGCAUAGCCGACCUGAGAGGGUGAUCGGCCACACUGGAACUGAGACACGGUCCAGACUCCUACAGGAGGCAGCAGUACGGAAUCUUCCACAAUGCGCGAAAGCCUGACGGACCAACGCCGCGUGAGUGAUGAAGGUCUUCGGAUCGUAAAACUCUGUUAUUAGGGAAGAACAUAUGUGUAAGUAACUGUGCACAUCUUGACGGUACCUAAUCAGAAUGCCCCGGCUAACUACGUGCCAUCAGCCGCGGUAAUACGUAGGUGGCAAGCGUUAUCCGGAAUUAUUGGGCGUAAAGCGCGCGUAGGCGGUUUUUUAAGUCUGAUGUGAAAGCCCACGGCUCAACCGUGGAGGGUCAUUGGAAACUGGAAAACUUGAGUGCAGAAGAGGAAAGUGGAAUUCCAUGUGUAGCGGUGAAAUGCGCAGAGAUAUGGAGGAUCACCAGUGGCGAAGGCGACUUUCUGGUCUGUAACUGACGCUGAUGUGCGAAAGCGUGGGGAUCAAACAGGAUUAGAUACCCUGGUAGUCCACGCCGUAAACGAUGAGUGCUAAGUGUUAGGGGGUUUCCGCCCCUUAGUGCUGCAGCUAACGCAUUAAGCACUCCGCCUGGGGAGUACGACCGCAAGGUUGAAACUCAAAGGAAUUGACGGGGACCCGCACAAGCGGUGGAGCAUGUGGUUAAUUCGAAGCAACGCGAA
rnacentral:rRNA from 1 species